ACAAAUAUAAAUUGUAUUACUUAAUUAAUUUUUCAGGUGUUCUGUUGUAGAUUGGUCACUGAUAAAAAAUAGUAUACAUUUUACUGAAUUAUAGUUUUUUUUUAUUUUAACAUCUCAAGACCGCAAUUGGAUCUCAUCUAUUGCGCGAAUUAUGACUGAAUUUUUUGAAACAAAUGAUUGAAUGAAUUUUGUUAGCUGUGGCUUUAUUAUUCUGAAUUGAUUGGUUCAAAAUGUUCAGUAUUAUCAAAAUAAUUUUAUUCCGUGAACAAUAAUGUAUUUUUUUUGGUUGUUUGCGGAAUUUCAGUUUUUCAUCAUUAUGUAUGUUUUUUUUCUUUCUAUUAAUAUAAUAAACAUGUAAAAUCAUAAUAUUUAUAUGAAUAAUUACUUUCAUUAUUUUUGUUAGUUGUAAUUUAAAAAAAGAUGAGUUUUGAAAACAUACAUAAUGAUUCAACUGACGUGCGCGGCGCUUGCAUAUUUUAAUUUUCGCGCGGAAAGAAAUUAAAUGUUUAGUUUAAAAAAAUUAAGACUAAUGGAAAUUUCAAACAAAUUUUAAUUUGUAACUUAAGUUUAUUACUUACUUGGUUUAUAACUCACUAAUUUUUUUAACAUGAGCAUUUGAUUUUUUUCAUUGUAUUCUAUGAAUAUAGAUAAAGCACUAGUUUACAAUAUUUAAUCUGUAUUUGUUUCGUUUAUAAUUUAUACCCGAUCAUUUAAUUUUGUAUCAUGCCCGGUAUAUGAUGUUAUUACUUAUGGUUAAAUAAUGAACUUUGAAAUUUCUUACAAUGUAGAUAAAUAACAGAUUAAGUAUUGAAACCUAUGUGUUUUUUGGUGAUGAAUAUCCAAUAGCUGUCUUUUAAUUUUUAUAGAGUAAGUUUUACUCAGCAUUAAACAACUAAGUACAUUUUUAUUUAAAUUAGAUCUAUUGUAAAGCAAUUAAAACUAUUCCUACCAUCAAAUAUUUUAAUUUAAUUAAUGAUGAAAAUUUAAUUUGUUUCUAUUUAUUUUAAACUUCUUAUGGUAAAAUUAUAUUUGAAAAAUAUUUAUUAAAAAUUAUCAUAUACAUCUACAGUAGUCUUAGUAAUCUGACCUUUUAUAAAUUCAAUAUUCCCAGUAGGUUAUUCUAAUAUUCUGUUUGUUUUUUUUAAAAUUAUUUUUCAUUCAACUGAUUAAGUUAUAUCAUUUCAGUAAAACGACCUAAUCUAUUACUGUAUUUUAAUUGAUUGUCACAUGUAUAUUAAAUAUUGUGUUCAAUUUCAUAAUGGUUAUUAAAUGUGCAACACUAAAUAAAAACAUUAGAUUAAAUAUAAUUAUUAAAUUAUUAAAAUAAUUUGAUAACAUAAAAUAUUAGUGUUGUGUUACAUUAUUGCUGUUGUUACUUAAGACAUGGUCAUAUAUAUUAUGAUAAUCGUUGAAAUUUUAAAUGUAUAAUAUUUUUAUUACUAAUUUAAGUAUUCAUAAAAUUCCGUGUGCUAUUUCAGCACUACAUCUGACUAUAUGCAUAUUAUUACUGAGAUUACUGCAGUUAUUUUUGUUUAAGAAAAAUGUAUCUUAACUUCUUAUAUUACAAUUUCUAUAUUCUAAAAAUAUUUAUUAUAGUCUUUAGUCUUUACAAUAGAUACACAUAUCAAUAACUUUGAUUCAUCUAGCUGAUGAGAUUUCAUUUAAAGUUUUCAAUGCGCCGAUCUACAACAAAAAGUUACCAAUGUACCUUUCGUUUUUUUUAUCUUUUAUCUACUUUCCUGCAAUUUCUUCUCUUUUUUUUAUCCAAAUGGUUUUCCUGGUUUCGAAAAGUGAUGGACAACCCUGCCUUCCUUAUUAUUGAUGGUACCAUCCGUCAAUUUAUCUAGGUCCAUGAUACGAAAAUGUUGUGUAUUUAGUUGAUGAGGAUGUACGGCGAGUGUGUUCUUAUUUCCUGAAUAGCUACCACCUCAUACAUUAAUAGGUACAAAGUAAUUCACACCUCUUAAAAUCAAAUUUUGUAAACGGGAAAUUACACCAAAAGAACUAAAUUUAUUGGUAACCACUCGCCUCACACUCUCGUAACAAUGGUCUUCUCAACGGUGUCAAUGCCGGUUUCACAAAAAGGGCCAAAAAUUUAUUUUAUUUUUGUUCUAAUAUCAUAAUUCUCCAAAACUUCUUUGAGAAAAUUAUGAUAUUUAAAAGUAUAGCGAUGAUUACUCUAAAGUAUAGAUACUAAAUUUUAAGUUGUCAACAAUCAUAAUUUUCUCUAAUUGAAGUAGGCAAAUACUAGAUGUUAGGAUUUUUUUUUCUUAACAAGUGCAUUUUUUGUUUUUGUUUAUAGGAAUGUGUCAAGGAAUGCGAAGUUAAUGACGAAGCAUGCGCGCUAGUGUACAUUUUCCCUCCUAACACUACUAUUGUGUUAAAAUAUAAAAUAUAAAGUAUGGCUUACGCGCGUUUAGGUCCCUUUAUAAACAUAGUACGAUUUCAAAAAUAUCAGAAUAUUUUUUUGUCGUAUUAUGUAGCAGCGUAGUUGCGCGUUUUGUCUGCUGGCUGUUAAAAUUAUAAUAAAUGCCUUUCCUCCCUUAACUAAAGAAAACUAAAAAUGUUUUAACAAGUUUCCCAUGUAAAAUUAUUUUAGCAGCCUUAACAGACAAAUUUUAGUCUUGGUUUAGACUGGCAUAUUACCUGUCUUCUUCUGCGCUUUCCCAACUUUUUAAAAACUUUUUGGAGAGGAAUUUGUACAUAACACUUUUUUCAAUCUGUUUUUCCGUUUACACUUAAACUAUAAGACACAGCUAUUGCUUUUUAUUAAUUGUUUUUUCUUUUUUUUCCUUUCCUUAAAUUUCCUCUGGGAU